UACGAAGGGGGCUAGCGUUGCUCGGAAUCACUGGGCGUAAAGCGCACGUAGGCGGAUUGUUAAGUCAGGGGUGAAAUCCUGGAGCUCAACUCCAGAACUGCCUUUGAUACUGGCGAUCUUGAGUCCGGGAGAGGUGAGUGGAACUGCGAGUGUAGAGGUGAAAUUCGUAGAUAUUCGCAAGAACACCAGUGGCGAAGGCGGCUCACUGGCCCGGUACUGACGCUGAGGCACGAAAGCGUGGGGAGCAACAGGG
rnacentral:rRNA from 1 species